rnacentral:rRNA from 1 species
CCUACGGAGGCAGCAGUGGGGAAUUUUGGACAAUGGACGCAAGUCUGAUCCAGCAAUGCCGCGUGCAGGACGAAGGCCUUCGGGUUGUAAACUGCUUUUGUACAGAACGAAAAGGCUCUGGUUAAUACCUGGGGCUCAUGACGGUACUGUAAGAAUAAGCACCGGCUAACUACGUGCCAGCAGCCGCGGUAAUA